GUUUUCUCUUCAUUUUGCAGGUAUGGCUGACACUUAGAAGAAUCUAAGACCAGAUUCAGAAGAAAGUUUGAGUGCAGUUUUAUUAGAAUUUCAACAAAACAAAACAAAACUGCAGGGCCGGCAAGUUGUAAAUCUCAGCAGCUGUCUGGAGGAGGGAGGUGAAGUAGAAGAGAGAAAGCCACGUUGGAUCUAAACAGCCAGAUGAUGGAGCCAUCUGAGGUGCUCAUGUGCUACAGUGCAUGUUGAAGUCAGAGGACAACAUUUGGAAGUUGAGUCUCUUCUGCUACAUUGUGUGAUCUGUGGAUGAAACUCAGGUCAUAAAGCAUAUGUAAGAGGACACUGGCUGCUCUAGGACUGGAGAUACACAUAGUGGUGAGCCAUCACUCAAAUCAGACUUGGGCCAUCUAUAAGAGCAACAGGAGCUCUUAAUGGCUAAGCCAACUUUCCAGCCCCUAUUUAUUGUUCCUGAUUUGAAUUCUAUGAUUUUAAUUUGCAUUUCUCUCA
rnacentral:lncRNA from 1 species